rnacentral:rRNA from 1 species
UAUUUUGAUUGUGCAAAGGUAGCAUAAUAAUUAGUUUUUUAAUUGAGAACUGGUAUGAAUGGUUGGACGAGAAAAAAACUGUCUCAAUUUAAUUUUAAUUAGAAUUUUAUUUUUAAGUUAAAAAGCUUAAAUAUUUUUAAAAGACGAGAAGACCCUAUAGAGUUUUAUCAAAUUUUUAUUUUUAAUAAUUUUAGUAUUUUAUCAAUUAGUUGUAAAAAUUUUAUUUGAUUGGGGUGAUUAAAAAAUUUAAUAAACUUUUUUUAUUAUUAAACAUUGAUUUAUGAAUAAUUGAUCC